rnacentral:rRNA from 1 species
UACGGGGGGGACAAGCGUUGUUCGGAAUUACUGGGCGUAAAGGGCGCGUAGGCGGUUGGAUAAGUCAGCUGUGAAAACCACGAGCUCAACUUGUGGCCUGCAGUUGAAACUGUCUGGCUAGAGUGUGGGAGAGGGAAGUGGAAUUCCUGGUGUAGCGGUGAAAUGCGUAGAUAUCAGGAGGAACACCGGUGGCGAAGGCGGCUUCCUGGACCACAACUGACGCUGAGGCGCGAAAGCUAGGGGAGCAAACAGG